AACGAACGCUGGCGGCAUGCCUAACACAUGCAAGUCGAACGAUGCUUUCGGGCAUAGUGGCGCACGGGUGCGUAACGCGUGGGAAUCUGCCCUUGGGUUCGGAAUAACAGUGAGAAAUUGCUGCUAAUACCGGAUGAUGUCUUCGGACCAAAGAUUUAUCGCCCAGGGAUGAGCCCGCGUAGGAUUAGCUAGUUGGUGGGGUAAUGGCCUACCAAGGCGACGAUCCUUAGCUGGUCUGAGAGGAUGAUCAGCCACACUGGGACUGAGACACGGCCCAGACUCCUACGGGAGGCAGCAGUGGGGAAUAUUGGACAAUGGGCGCAAGCCUGAUCCAGCAAUGCCGCGUGAGUGAUGAAGGCCUUAGGGUGGUAAAGCUCUUUUACCCGGGAUGAUAAUGACAGUACCGGGAGAAUAAGCUCCGGCUAACUCCGU
rnacentral:rRNA from 1 species